AUUGAACGCUGGCGGCAGGCCUAACACAUGCAAGUCGAGCGAGCGGCGGACGGGUGAGUAAUGUAUGGUGAUCUGCCCGAUAGAGGGGGCUAACUACUGGAAACUGUGGCUAAUACCGCAUACUAUCGGCUGAACCCAUAUGGGAUUAGCUAGUAGGUGGGGUAAAGGCUCACCUAGGCGACGAUCUCUAGUUGGUCUGAUAGGAUGAACAGCCACACUGGGACUGAGACACGGCACAGACUCCUACGGGAGGCAGCAGUGAGGAAUAUUGCACAAUGGGCGCAAGCAUGAUGCAGCCAUGCCGCGUGUAUGAAGAAGGCCUUAGGGUUGUAAAGUACUUUCAGCGGGGAGGCGUUACCCGCAGAAGAAGCACCGGCUAACUCCGUGCCAGCAGCCGCGGUAAUUC
rnacentral:rRNA from 1 species